GAUGAACGCUGGCGGCGUGCCUAAUACAUGCAAGUCGAGCGAACAGAUGAGGAGCUUGCUCCUCUGACGUUAGCGGCGGACGGGUGAGUAACACGUGGAUAACCUACCUAUAAGACUGGGAUAACUUCGGGAAACCGGAGCUAAUACCGGAUAAUAUAUUGAACCGCAUGGUUCAAUAGUGAAAGACGGUUUUGCUGUCACUUAUAGAUGGAUCCGCGCCGCAUUAGCUAGUUGGUAAGGUAACGGCUUACCAAGGCAACGAUGCGUAGCCGACCUGAGAGGGUGAUCGGCCACACUGGAACUGAUACACGGUCCAGACUCCUACGGGAGGCAGCAGUAGGGAAUCUUCCGCAAUGGGCGAAAGCCUGACGGAGCAACGCCGCGUGAGUGAUGAAGGUCUUCGGAUCGUAAAACGCUGUUAUUGGGGAAGAACAAAUGUGUAAGUAACUAUGCACGUCUUGACGGUACCGAAUCAGAAAGCCACGGCUAACUACGU
rnacentral:rRNA from 1 species